rnacentral:lncRNA from 1 species
AAGCUACCUCUGCGAAAACAACAACAACAAUCAUCAGUCCAAACUCGGUCUCGGCUUAGGUCAAAAGGGAAAACAAGCCACCAGCUCCGAUCUUCAUCUAGACCAAUUUGUCGAGCGCGAUUUCCUCAAUCUCACCAAGGACGACGACGAAGCAGACCCAGAAGACGAGAACACUAAGAAGAAGCCGAAGCUUGAAGGGAGUCUCAACCUCU